UUUGGGAAAUAAAAUAUCUUUCAUUUUACCUGCCACCGUAAACACUUCUUCUCCAUAUUUAUUUUAUUUCCUAAAUUGAUGUAGAGAGAGAGAAACAUUAUCAAGGAAAUUGGGGUUGUUCCCUUUUUCCUUUCUACCUGCCACCACCGAGAACCCAUUCCCCCUGCAACACCGGCCGUUGCAGCCACCCCUCCAAAUCCACCUUCUGUUUGCCCAUCAAUAUUAACCUUAUCAAGGUUUGUUGGGGUUGUUCCCUUUUACCUUUCUACCUGCCACCACCGAGAACCCCUUCCCCCUGCAACACCGGCCGCUGCAGCCACCCCUCCAAAUCCACCUUCUGUUUGCCCAUCAAUAUUAACCUUAUCAGGGUUUGUUGCGGCGGUAGGGGUGGUGUAUUUUUCUUUGCCAGAUCUCGUACCCUUUAUGGGACCGGUCCACCAAUCCGGAUAACCAAUAAGACGGAAACACUGCUCCUUGGUGUGUCUUUCCAUGCCACACUCAUCACAGUGGAGGUGGGUUUUAUCAUCUUUGUCGGAUUUAUCAUUGUUGGGUCCCGUUUUUUUCUUGCUGUCAAAUCGGCGGUAGCUUUUUGUAACAAAACCACCGCCGCCGCCGUUCCUCUGGUCACAACCGCCAAGAUCUCUCCAAGUUUGAAAUGCAUUAGGGGACCGUGUUUUUCGAGCCAGCUUUGUAAUAACAUGUUGUGGUGGGUUGAACGGCGGCGAUCUCUGGAUCGACGGAAUCAAUGGUUUGAGAUUCUGGUGACAAGAACAUCAGCCGUCGCAAAGAGCUUUAAACCGGUGUUGUGAAAUCGAAUUGAAUAGCUAUAUACAACUCGAGGAUUAAACUUUUGGACUUAAUAUGUCAAGUGAUCAAGUACUGGACUAAAGUUGAAGAAUUAAGAGAAAGAAGGGCUUAAGUUAAAGAUUAAAGAAAUAGAAGGGCGCAGGUUAUAACUCUGGGUACAAAGGAGUAUAAACACCCUCUUUAGGGUUCUGCUCAUAUCAUUCGACACACACACACAUUUUUCCAUAUAAUUUUCUCUCGAUUGUUCAAUCAUAUUUUCUAAUCAUAUUGAUCAUCUUUUUAAUUAUAGCCUGUUAUUACAAUCAAAACAUUCUGUUUGAUUGUAUUCUAUUCGAUUUAAUUUUUUUGUAACAAAACUCUCAUAAUAAUAAAGUUGUAAGGUCAAUCGGGCCGACUUAAUUUGGAUCA